GAUGAACGCUGGCGGCGUGCCUAAUACAUGCAAGUCGAGCGAAUGGAUUAAGAGCUUGCUCUUAUGAAGUUAGCGGCGGACGGGUGAGUAACACGUGGGUAACCCGCCCAUAAGACUGGGAUAACUCCGGGAAACCGGGGCUAAUACCGGAUAAUAUUUUGAACUGCAUGGUUCAAAAUUGAAAGGUGGCUUCGGCUGUCACUUAUGGAUGGACCCGCGGCGCAUUAGCUAGUUGGUGAGGUAACGGCUCACCAAGGCAACGAUGCGUAGCCGACCUGAGAGGGUGAUCGGCCACACUGGGACUGAGACACGGCCCAGACUCCUACGGGAGGCAGCAGUAGGGAAUCUUCCGCAAUGGACGAAAGUCUGACGGAGCAACGCCGCGUGAGUGAUGAAGGCUUUCGGGUCGUAAAACUCUGUUGUUAGGGAAGAACAAGUGCUAGUUGAAUAAGCUGGCACCUUGACGGUACCUAACCAGAAAGCCACGGCUAACUACGUGCCAGCAGCCGCGGUAA
rnacentral:rRNA from 1 species